UGGGGAAUAUUGGGCAAUGGGCGCAAGCCUGACCCAGCCACGCCGCGUGAGUGAUGAAGGCCUUCGGGUCGUAAAGCUCUGUGGGGAAGGACGAAAAACAUUGGCUAAUAUCCAAUGGCUUGACGGUACUUCCUUAGCAAGCACCGGCUAACUCUGUGCCAGCAGCCGCGGUAAUACAGAGGGUGCAAACGUUGCUCGGAAUCAUUGGGCGUAAAGGGCGCGUAGGCGGCAUGACAAGUCACUUGUGAAAUCUCUGGGCUUAACCCAGAACGGCCAAGUGAUACUGUCGCGCUAGAGUGCAGAAGGGGCAAUCGGAAUUCUUGGUGUAGCGGUGAAAUGCGUAGAUAUCAAGAGGAACACCUGAGGUGAAGACGGGUUGCUGGGCUGACACUGACGCUGAGGCGCGAAAGCCAGGGGAGCAAACGGGAUUAGAUACCCUAGUAGUCCCUGAGCGGGCUGGCAAGGCGCAU
rnacentral:rRNA from 1 species